rnacentral:rRNA from 1 species
UACGUAGGGUGCGAGCGUUAAUCGGAAUUACUGGGCGUAAAGCGUGCGCAGGCGGUUUUGUAAGCCAGAUGUGAAAUCCCCGGGCUUAACCUGGGAAUGGCAUUUGGGACUGCAAGGCUUGAGUUUGGCAGAGGAGACUGGAAUUCCUGGUGUAGCAGUGAAAUGCGUAGAUAUCGGGAGGAAUACCGAUGGCGAAGGCAGGUCUCUGGGCUAGAACUGACGCUCAUGCACGAAAGCGUGGGGAGCAAACAGG